rnacentral:rRNA from 1 species
CGUAACAAGGUUUCCGUAGGUGAACCUGCGGAAGGAUCAUUAUCCAUCUCAACCAGGUGCGGUCGCGGCCCUCGGGGGGGUUCUCUCCCGGGUGGUAGGGGUAACACCCUCACGCGCCGCAUUCCUGCAUCCUUUUUUUACGAGCACCUUUCGUUCUCCUUCGGCGGGGCAACCUGCCGCUGGAACUUAACAAAACCUUUUUUGCAUCUAGCAUUACCUGUUCUGAUACAAACAAUCGUUACAACUUUCAACAAUGGAUCUCUUGGCUCUGGCAUCGAUGAAGAACGCAGCGAAAUGCGAUAAGUAGUGUGAAUUGCAGAAUUCAGUGAAUCAUCGAAUCUUUGAACGCACAUUGCGCCCCUUGGUAUUCCAUGGGGCAUGCCUGUUCGAGCGUCAUCUACACCCUCAAGCUCUGCUUGGUGUUGGGCGUCUGUCCCGCCUUCGCGCGCGGACUCGCCCCAAAUUCAUUGGCAGCGGUCCUUGCCUCCUCUCGCGCAGCACAAUUGCGUCUGCGGGGGGGCGUGGCCCGCGUCCACGAAGCAACAUUACCGUCUUUGACCUCGGAUCAGGUAGGGAUACCCGCUGAACUUAAGCAUAUCA